AUCAGGCUGGAGUUUCGUCUCCAUGCCGGGCCGGCGCCCUCGGACGAGCAGGCGAAUCCGGUCCGACGCCCGUCGAUAACCUGGCGUCGCG
rnacentral:ncRNA from 1 species